UAUACCUGCUAAUCCGAUGUC
rnacentral:siRNA from 1 species